rnacentral:lncRNA from 1 species
UUUUACGGAGUUGAACGUCAUGAAUAUAUCUCACUUGUUUUGCCUAUUAUCACUACUAUUAUUGUUUAGUGUUUCUUCAUAUGUGCAUAUCAUUAUUAAGUUUAUUCAUAUCAUUAUAUCAAUAUACAAUUCUGAUAAUGCAUAAGUUCAUAAAACUGCAAUGUUAUGCCUGCAAUGGUAGUUAAUGUGUGCACCUGUAUUGUUUCCUAUCUCCAC